rnacentral:piRNA from 1 species
UGCAAUCAGACGUACCUUCCACAG